rnacentral:rRNA from 1 species
AUGGCGAACAAUUUAGAACAUACAAGUGCGACGACAAGGGAGUUUACACUCGAGUUGUUGAAACAAAUUACAGAUAACUUUUCUGAGGACCAUGUCAUUGGACGUGGUGGGUAUGGAGUAGUCUACAAGGGAUUACUGGAUGAUGGGGAAGAGAUUGCUGUCAAAAAGCUUCACUACAUGCCCGGGCUUGACGACACACAGUUUACAAAUGAGUUUAAUAUUGUACAGUUAGUGGGCUACUGCUAUUAUCUAGGACAUGAACGCUUCAAGUACAAUGGUGAAUAUAUUUUUGCCCCAGUAGAAGAAAGAUUUCUCUGCUUCAAAUACCUGCAGGGUGGAGGCCUUGACAAGCAUAUUUCUGAUGAAUCCUGCGGACUCAAUUGGCACACACGCUUCAGGAUUAUUAAGGGAGUUAGUGAGGGCCUAAAUUACCUUCAUAAUGGAUGCAAAGAUUCUAUUUACCAUCUUGACUUGAAGCCUGAGAAUAUAUUGCUGGACAAGAACAUGUUCCCAAAAAUUGGAGAUUUUGGUUUGUCAAGACUUUUUCAGUCAGAAAAAACCCAUAUCACAAGCAAAAUUAUGGGAACAGUUGGAUACAUGCCACCAGAAUACAUCGAUAGACGAGCAAUAACACCGAAGUUUGAUGUAUUCAGUUUGGGUGUUAUAAUCCUUCAGAUAGUAGCGGGAUAUGAUGGCUAUUCCAAAUGUGAACAUAUGUCUCUGCAAGAAUUUCUUGAGCAUGUGCAUGAAAACUGGGGAAAACGGAUGCAGGAAACAAUGUCAUCACAUACAUCAGAGCAAGUUAUUACAUGCAUCAAAAUAGCAUUAAGGUGUGUGGAGUUUGACCGAGAGAAAAGGCCUACCAUAGCGGAUAUUAUUGAUGAACUGAAUAAGAUUGAUAAUGCCGAAAGUUCAGCUACAGGCAAGAACACAGAAGAAAAUGAGCACACUCUGGAAAAACUACCUGAGAUUCAAGAACAGAAAAAAGAGAGUGCAGAAGACGGUAGCAGAUACGCGAGAACAAAUCGCAUUUCCACUCUCGUGGAGAAUCACGCUGAGUUGGUCGAUUUCCCAGCUGGCCCCAUGGGCUCCUUGCUCCCCAAGCUGCUCGAGUUCCUCAGCGACGAGUACCAUUACCUGCAUGCGGACUGCAGGAAAGACGUAGAGUACGUCUACAACGAGCUGGUGGGCAUGCAAGCUGCCCUGCACAAGGUGGCCGAGGUGCCACAGGACCAGCAGCUGGAUUCUGUGGUUAAGCUCUGGACCGAGGAAGUAAAUGACCUCUCAUAUCAGGUGGACAAUACCGUUGAUUCCUUUCUGGCGCGCUUCUGGGCCUCUGAGCUUGACACAUCUCCGAACCUUCGAAGUCAGAAACAACAACUUCCAAGGAAGACCUCCGGCGCGAAAAAGAAAGGGAAUGGCCGAAAGAAGCGGGCGCGAUGA